UUUAAGGUUUCCAAAAUGUUUUCCUCACAAUAUCCUUAGGAUGUAAUUCAUUUAUUCUCAAUUUUUUUCAGGUGAAGAAAUUCUAUAGUGAGUUGACCAGAGAGAUAAUACUGUUAGCAAGUUUUGGAGUCAUCAUUCAGUACCAGCUGGCAACCACUCUAGUCCAGGGACCUAUAAGACAGGAAGAGAGAGCAAGAGAGCAGUCUCUGACAGAGUUCAGCUACAGAGAGAGAGUGGGGGAGGAACAAGAAGAAAAAACUGAAAUUUCCAGGAGAGAACCAGAAGCUUGGAGAAGUCCCACCAGCCACUCUCUCACUUCCAGCUUGGAGCCAGAGGGAAGAGGUAGAUCUCCUAGGCUGGGAAGAAGCCUGUCUCUCUCUGGAGAUCAACUGCCUCUUUCUGAAUCUCUGGAUGCCUCUCACUCAACUCUCAAUAACAGCAAUCAAGGCCAUCAAUGGAUAUUGUGGACUGGGACUUUGAAGAAAGCUGUCCAUAGAGAUCCCUUUCAAAGAUCUCACUCUCCAUAUCUCUCUCCCUAUCUAUGCCUGGACUCCUGUAUUUAAGUAAUUAGCUCAGGAAUAGGGACCAACAGGCAGCUGGUAAAAAGAGGGAUUAAAGCUGAGAAGCCUUGAACUUCUAGUCUUUAGAGGACCAAUUUGCCAGAGGGGACAAAUUGCAGGGCUCACUAUUCACCCAGUUCCCUACUUGAUACCUUACCACACCUUCCCUGCUUGAACCCAAAUAAAUCAUCUAUUACUUUAGAUUUAGAUCUAGGC
rnacentral:lncRNA from 1 species